UACGGAGGGUGCGAGCGUUGUCCGGAUUUAUGGGUUUAAAGGGUGCGUAGGUGGCUGAGUUAAGUCAGUGGUGAAAUACAGCCGCUCAACGGUUGAGGUGCCAUUGAUACUGAUCAGCUUGAAAUCAAUUGGAGGCUGCCGGAAUGGAUGGUGUAGCGGUGAAAUGCAUAGAUAUCAUCCAGAACACCGAUUGCGAAGGC
rnacentral:rRNA from 1 species